GAGUCAUUGGGACUCGAUUAAACCUAAAGGCGCAAUGAAAGUAAAGGUCCGCCUAGCGCGGACCGAGGGAGGAUGGGCUCGUCUAAGGGCGAGCCCCGCACUCCCGGGGCGUCUCGUCCUCAUCGCGAGGAGAGGCGCACCCAGAGCGUACACGCUGGGACCCGAAAGAUGGUGAACUAUGCCUGGUCAGGACGAAGUCAGGGGAAACCCUGAUGGAGGUCCGUAGCGAUUCUGACGUGCAAAUCGAUCGUCGGAACUGGGUAUAGGGGCGAAAGACUAAUCGAACCUUCUAGUAGCUGGUUCCCUCCGAAGUUUCCCUCAGGAUAGCUGGCGCUCGCCUUUGCGAGUCUCAUUCGGUAAAGCGAAUGAUUAGAGGCAUUGGGGUCGAAACGGCCUCAACCUAUUCUCAAACUUUAAAUGGGUGAGAUCUCCGGCUUGCUUGAAGCGUGAAGCCGCGAGAUAUCGGAUCACAGAGUGCCAAGUGGGCCACUUUUGGUAAGCAGAACUGGCGCUGUGGGAUGAACCAAACGCCGAGUUAAAGCGCCAAAAUCGACGCUUAUGGGAUACCAUGAAAGGCGUUGGUAACUUAAGACAGCAGGACGGUGG
rnacentral:rRNA from 1 species